AUUCACGAUUACGAUGUGAAAAUGCGGUCGGUGCUGAAAUUCCUUGGCGAAGGUGACAAGGUCAAAGUGACGCUGCGCUUUCGCGGUCGUGAAAUGGCGCACCAACAGCUGGGCUUGGAGUUGCUGAACCGCGUCGCGGAUGAUGUGAUCGCAGCCGAAGCUGGCAAGGUGGAAAGUUUCCCCCGGCUGGAAGGCCGCCAGAUGGUGAUGAUGAUCGGGGCAAGAUAACCCCCGCGCAUCGGUGAACAGGGGUCGCUAUUGCGGCCCCUUUUUUUAUGCUGGCCCCUUUUUUAUGUUAGGCCGCUAUUUAUGCCAAA
rnacentral:misc_RNA from 1 species